UACGUAGGGUGCAAGCGUUGUCCGGAAUUAUUGGGCGUAAAGAGCUCGUAGGCGGUCUGUUGCGUCGGCUGUGAAAACCCGGGGCUCAACUCCGGGCCUGCAGCCGAUACGGGCAGACUAGAGUUCGGCAGGGGAGACUGGAAUUCCUGGUGUAGCGGUGGAAUGCGCAGAUAUCAGGAGGAACACCAACGGCGAAGGCAGCUCGCUGGGACGGUACUGACGCUGAGGCGCGAAAGCGUGGGGAGCGAACAGG
rnacentral:rRNA from 1 species